rnacentral:rRNA from 1 species
CUUGUAUGCUCGCCAGAGAAUACCAAAACUCUUUUUAUUAAUGUCGUCUGAGUACUAUAUAAUAGUUAAAACUUUCAACAACGGAUCUCUUGGUUCUGGCAUCGAUGAAGAACGCAGCGAAAUGCGAUAAGUAAUGUGAAUUGCAGAAUUCAGUGAAUCAUCGAAUCUUUGAACGCACAUUGCGCCCCUUGGUAUUCCGGGGGGCAUGCCUGUUCGAGCGUCAUUUCAACCCUCAAGCUUAGCUUGGUAUUGAGUCUAUGUCAGUAAUGGCAGGCUCUAAAAUCAGUGGCGGCGCCGCUGGGUCCUGAACGUAGUAAUAUCUCUCGUUACAGGUUCUCGGUGUGCUUCUGCCAAAACCCAAAUUUUUCUAUGGUUGACCUCGGAUCAGGUAGGGAUACCCGCUGAACUUAAGCAUAUCAAUAA